GACGAACGCUGGCGGCGUGCUUAACACAUGCAAGUCGAACGGAAAGGCCCUGUGUUUGUGGGGUGCUCGAGUGGCGAACGGGGGAGUAACACGUGAGUAACCUGCCCUUUACUUUGGGAUAACUUCAGGAAACUGGGGCUAAUACCGGAUAGGAGCCCCUGCUGCAUUGUGGGGGUUGGAAAGUUUCGGCGGUUGGGGUUGGACUCGCGGCUUAUCAGCUUGUUGGUGGGGUGGUGGCUUACCAAGGCGUUGACGGGUGGCCGGCCUGAGAGGGUGACCGGCCACAAUGGGACUGAGAUACGGCCCAGACUCCUACGGGAGGGAGCAGGGGGGAAUAUUGCACAAUGGGCGGAAGCCUGAUGCAGCGACGCCGCGUGAGGGAUGACGGCCUUCGGGUUGUAAACCUCUUUCAGCAUGGAAGAAGCGGGAGUGACGGUAAGUGCAGAAGAAACGCCGGCUAACUACGUG
rnacentral:rRNA from 1 species